ensembl:lncRNA
GCUGAAGCUUCCAUCCACACUUAAGGGCGCCCAAGAGCUCGGUGUGUUGCAUGAACUCACCAUCCGAGUCCACCUGCAGACCCAGGCCUCCGACUCUGACUCAGCUGCGUGAGCCACGCUUGACUUCUCUGAUGACAUGUCAACCCACAGGAUGGGGGGUGAGGGGCCAAAGCCCAAGGCUGGGUGGCUGUGCUCACACUGACGGAAGCCCAUAAACACACCUGCAGUGGGGGCCCUCUAGGUCACCUUGGAAACGCAGGCACCCACGGGACAGGGCGCUGCGCUUACACCAAAGCCACUCCGGAACACGCCUGCACAGCGGGGCGUGCGCUUGCCCACUCACCUCCCUGGAAGGUUUCAAGGCUUCUACUGAUACGUCUUCCCCUUUCUAAUUGUUCUGAUAAGGAAGCAGCUCCUGCUCAAUGCGGGUUACCCGCCUCUAAUCUCGGGUCAUCUGCCUACAGGGGCCCUCGUCUUGGAUUAGAGUCAAAAUGCAGCUGAGAGGAGAAACCUCGUGGAGAAAGACUAUGUCCAUUAAUGCACGGGCUUCUGAAAUUCAAAUGCAAUUCCGCCGUUUGACAUUUGACAAGACUAUCCUAACAGCUAUCUGAGAAAACAGACAGCUGAGGAUGGUUCGGCAAUUUUGUGCGAAAAGAAACGUGAAGGCGGAUCUGCUUGAUUAAAACCAACAGGACGCUCUACUUUUGUUUCCGGUUCUUUGCUUCUCUUUUUCGCCACUGAAGACAGAGCACUGAUAGACUGUGGACUCCACGUCUGCGAUGUCUGAUGCUUUUUCCUGGUUCUUUAAAAACAGGACAGGGACUUUGCUGGUGGUCCAGGAUUCGGUGCUUUCACUGCUGGGGCCUGGGUUCCAUCCCUGGUGGGGAACUAAGAGCCCACAGGCCAGGAGGAACGGCCAAAGAAAUAACAUCAGGGACUUUUCCAGUGAGUCAGCUAUUCACGUCAGAUCACCAGUCCACUUAGAUUCAAAAGCGUACAUGAUUCUAUCAGACGUACAAAAUGACUUGUUCCACCAUUAUCCUGACGCUUCGUUUGUGAUAGCAAAAGAUGGAAACAACCCAAAUGUCAAUUUAUGAGGAAUUUGUUAGCUCAAUUUUGGCUCAAACAGAGGACUUCUAUGCAGCCAUAAAAUGGAAUCAGAAAGCUCUUUGCGAACUGAUUUUGAGAUGAUUUCCAGGAUCCUGUUACAUGAACAAAGUUGAGUGUCAACAGAAUGCGCCAAUUGAUUUAAAAGAGAGAAAAAUUAAAACAUGCAUGGACUUGCUUGUAAAUGCAUAACAUCUACAGGAGGACCCGUAAGAAACUGAGGAUCUGGGUGACUGGGGCACAGGGUGGGAAGAGGGCUUUUUAAUCAGAUGUUACUUGGCGCCUUUUGGACUUGGAACCUGGUGAGUGAGUUGCUUCAUCAGAAAAUAAAUUAGAUCUAACACCUUCAUUGGUGACAGCGUAAGAGGUUUUGUCCAGGGACUGAACACAGCGAUUGCACAGACACGGCCCCCACCCACCAGGAGCCUGAGACAGAAUCAACUCUUAGUGACAGGAGGGGUCCCAAGAGCCCCCCACCACCAAGAGGAGGCUCAGGGCAGGUCACGUGGCCUCCGGGCCCGGAAUGCUGACCUCUGACCUCUGACCUGCGGUCCCUCUGGACGCGUGGGUGUCCACGUGCCAUGAAUUAGUCCAGAUCCAUUUUCUUCCCGUGACAACCCGACCUGUUCCGCUUCGUCCUCCUAAAGGAAAGCAGCCCACGGGUGUGCGUGCGAGCAGGAAGCGGGUUCGUCUCCGCGGGAGUGAGAGGAGACGCGGCUUCCCGUCCGAGACGCCGGAUCUGCGGCGCCAGAGCUGGAGGCCCCGCAGCCGCGAGAGCCUGCGCGCGCGAGGGCGUCCCGGGCGCCUCCCGGGGCUCGGGGAAGAUCUAAACUAAUCAGGGUUUUUAUUCCACCCUGCAUCAUCGCGGGGAGGAGCUCCUCAGAGCGAGAGAUGGGCUAUUAACUGUUUACAGUGCACGCGGCCGCGCGCUGGGGCUCUCCCGCCACGUCAGCCUCGGCCCGCGCCCCUCACAUCCCCGGAGAAGACGGGCUUUCCGGCGGCGCCGCCAGGGCCUGCAGGGCCCGAGCCGAAAGACCUCUGUGUGCUCCGAACGAAGACACUUCGGUGGUGUCUUUAAAAAGUACUUAACAGGAAAGGAUUCGUGAAAUAUAAAAUAGUAAAUGAGAAAAGCAGCAUGCUGCCAAAACCUCGUGUGUGUAAAAAGACCCGCGUUAUUAUUCACCACGUUUCAGAGCAGUUGUUAUUUCUGUGCAGUAAGGGCGACAGAUCCCAGCACUGGGGCCGAGGGGCCUCUGCUGGUUCCCGGGACUCUCAGCAAAGCUGGGCAGCCCCGAGCCCCAGUGGCUCCUGGACGUCCCACCCCUGGAGCAACCACCACAGACCCCAGUGUGGGAGGAACUUGCAAGCUGGCAGCUGGGGGGAGGCCCUGUCUAGGCCCUGUGGAGGGUGGAGUGCGAGGAGGCCGCCAAGAAGAAGCAGGAAGUGUGGGGAGGGAAGAGGCAGGUUGGGACAAAAGUUUGAAAAGCUUAGCCUUUUCUCUGGAC